AGGGAAUAUUGGACAAUGGGCGCAAGCCUGAUCCAGCCAUGCCGCGUGAGUGAAGAAGGCCCUCGGGUUGUAAAGCUCUUUUGUCCGGAAAGAAAAGCAUCGGGUUAAUACCCCGGUGUUCUGACGGUGCCGGAAGAAUAAGCACCGGCUAACUUCGUGCCAGCAGCCGCGGUAAUACGAAGGGUGCAAGCGUUACUCGGAAUUACUGGGUGUAAAGCGUGCGUAGGUGGUUCGUUAAGUCUGAUGUGAAAGCCCUGGGCUCAACCUGGGAAUGGCAUUGGAAACUGGCGGACUGGAGUGCGGUAGAGGGUAGCGGAAUUCCCGGUGUAGCAGUGAAAUGCGUAGAGAUCGGGAGGAACAUCCGUGGCGAAGGCGGCUACCUGGACCAGCACUGACACUGAGGCACGAAAGCGUGGGGAGCAAACA
rnacentral:rRNA from 1 species